rnacentral:piRNA from 1 species
UGUGUUAGAUAUUUACGUUAC